ACCAGGAGAAACCACGAAGUAGGAAGAUACAACACUAACUCUCUCAACAUUGUAUGACUGCAGAGAACAGGUGCCAGAUUCUCAACUGUGUGUGUUUUCUGUUUCUCAAAGACAAAGAUUAAAAGAGCAUGGACGGUGAAAUCGAUUACUAAGGAGAUAACAAAUAUGAGGAAGGACAACAACAACAAAACAGAUUUUCAGGACCACCUGUUUCCAGGAGGGCUUCUCAUUUGGAGGCGGUCAAUAAAAGGAAAAGAAAAUGAAGAUUUGCCAACCUCUUUGUCUACCAUCCAUUUGUUCCUGACUGAAGAAUGUCUCUACCUUACUUUAAUGUGUGGUAUUUAACUCUGAUGUAAUGGUCCCAGGCUUUUCACAGACACUGGCAACGUCUGGCUAGAAGCUAGAAAGACUACUUAUUUUUUAUUUUAUUUUUUACAGGGGCAGAAUUCAACUUUAUUAAUAAAUAUAUUUAUAUUUAAUCA
rnacentral:lncRNA from 1 species